GCCCAGGUGGUGAAAUUGGUAGACACGCUACUUUGAGGUGGUAGUUCCGCAAGGUGUGCAGGUUCGAGUCCUGUUCUGGGUA
rfam:Haliscomenobacter hydrossis DSM 1100, complete genome.